UAAAUAAAGAAAGGUUAAUGACAUUAAAUUUAAUUAAAAUGAAGUUGUCAGAUAGAAUAAUAAAUCAAAUUAAUUUUACUUUGGAUUAAUGGUACUUAUUCUUUGCUUUUUGUUUUUGAGGAACUUGAAUCUCCUAAUAGAAAUCAGAACAAACAGUUAUAGAAGGAUCAAUAAUGCAAAUGUUAAAGAUGAAAAAAUAAUAGAGAAUAUAUUUAAUCCAUUUAAAAUUAUAUUCUCUAAUUAAUUUAUAAACUUACAGGUUCAGGGGUAAAUACCCAAUUAAUGAUUAAUUUUCCAAUUUUAUAAAUAAUAUAAAUUGGGAUUAGCAAAAAAAUAUACCAGAAAUAGUUUGAUACAACGGAUAAUAUUGCAACCAUAGAGUUUAAGAUAUAUACAUCUUGGUACAUUGAAUAUCCAACUCCAACCUCUAAACGGGAUUUAAUGCUGGAGUACGUAAAAAAGUAAAUGGAAGAAAUUAUUGCAAAUCCAAUGCCUGAUUUUCCAAUCAGUUUUGAUGGGCUAUAUAGUCCUUUAAAAAUGAAAUGAAUUGAAAUACAAGAAAUCAUUAUAUAAAGGUAAAUUGAUGUGUAUUUGGC
rnacentral:antisense_RNA from 1 species